GAAGAGUGAGACACUCUGUCACCAAACAAAACAUUCAACUGUGGCGUCAUUGGGCCGCACCCCAGAUGUUUUUGAUCCAGCCCCAAACAUUUUGAGAGGUGGACCGCUCACGUCCCUUGAGCCGUCCCUCACCCCUACAGCACCGGUUAGAUGUCAAUGUCAUCACUCAGCAAAACGCCUGUCACUCAGUCAGAGUCUGCAGCAUAGCACAGAGCAAAUACGGACCGGAUGAGAGAGGAGAGCAGUCAAGAGACAGCAACAGACGACACAGAGAAAACGAUGGAGAGAGGCAGAGGAGGGGUCAGAAAGCUGUUUGAAAGGCGAUCCCGUAAUGACGACAUCUGUUUUCAUAUGGUCGUUGACACGUAGCACCCGAAAUCAGACGUCAUCCUGUCCAAACCCACGGCUGCCAGACAGCAUUCCAACCUCUGAUUGGUUCUGACAAGCCCCUGACAGCUCUGGAGGUGAGGAGGGCAAGUGACAAAGGGCAAGCAGGGGAUGAGCCAACCAAAUCAGGGUAUACGCCCCCCCCCCCCCCCCCCCCCCCCCAUACAUGAGACAAAUCAGAGACGCUUCAACGUGAGUGUGUGACAGAAAAAGAUAGGUUAAAGAGUUGAAAAAUAAUUGUUAUUUAGUAUUUAUCAGAACAAAGGGAACUCUCACUGCCUCAUAUUUAAAGUAUACAACCUCCUUGUUGUUGUAGCACGGGUGGCUAAAUGUAGCAUGUAGGUUCUGUGUCUGGUGGAUGAUGUUGUGAAUUUAAAGGGGCACCACCUGCCGUGAUAGAUAUCAGGGUCUUGUAUCGCCGCGCAGACAGCUGAGCACUUCAGGUGCCAAAGAGCCUUCCAUGACAUUGAGCGUUAAGCAGAUUUUUGCCAGCAGUUCCAUUUGAUCACUUCUCCCUCUCUCAGACCCAUACGGAAUCAUCCACUCGAUAUAAGCACGAUUUAUUCAACUUCUUGAUGAAGAAAGACAUGCUCAAAUGUGCCAUGAUUGAAGAGACUUGUGAUUUAGAACAAUGACACCUAACUUAAAAGACCAUUCGAUCACAUCUGUAACAUUCCUGUUGUAAAGAACGUGGAUAGUGUGUGUCAGUCUUGGGUUCUCAGGGCAAAGCGGAUGGAGGUUGUGUUGUUCUCAUGUGGACCAGUCGGCAGUGUGACCUUGCAUUAGUGCAUAUGCUCACAGCAGGGUUACUGGUUGGGGGCAUGAUCUGUCAGCCUUUGUUUAUGAAGCUCACACAGCACAGGACUGUAAGAUAACAUAUUUGAUGUAAUUAGUGGUCAGUAAUAACACACUAUAAGCGUCAGGAGAAAGAGUGUUUGGUUUUGGAGCAGUUGUUUAGAUUUUUUGUAGUAUGUUAUUUUUGUGAUAAUAUUUGUUUUAAUAUGUCUGCUGAUGUCUAUAUUUCCAAAACAUAAAACACAUGAAAUUAUAAAACUUGUGAACAGUCAUCUAGUUCUGGAUUAGAUAUGGGUUAGAUAGGACAGAUAUGGGUUAGAUAUGAUAGAUAUGGGUUAGAUAGGACUGAUAUGGGUUAGAUAUGAUAGAUAUGGGUUAUAUAGGAUAGAUAUGGGAUAGAUAUGAUAUAUAUGGUUUCAAUAUGAUAGAUAUGGGUUAAAUAGGAUAGAUUUUGGUUAGAUAUGAUAUAUGUGGGUUAGAUGCGAUAUAUAUGGGUUCCCACUCAGGAGACUGAAAAGAUUUGGUAUGGGUCCUCAGAUCCUCAAAAGGUUCUACAGCUGCACCACUGAGAGUAUCCUGACUGGUUGCAUCACUGCCUGGUAUGGCAAUUGCUCGGCCUCC